UGUGUCUCAUGGAACUCAGAUCUUUAAAUCC
rnacentral:piRNA from 1 species